rnacentral:rRNA from 1 species
CCUACGGGAGGCAGCAGUGGGGAAUAUUGCACAAUGGGGGAAACCCUGAUGCCGCGACGCCGCGUGAGUGAAGAAGUAUUUCGGAUUGUAAACUCCUUUUGUUAGAGAAGAUAAUGACGGUAUCUAACGAAUAAGCACCGGCUAACUCCGUGCCAGCAGCCGCGGUAAUACGGAGGGUGCAAGCGUUACUCGGAAUCACUGGGCGUAAAGAGCGCGUAGGCGGGAUAGCAAGUCAGAUGUGAAAUCCUAUGGCUUAACCAUAGAACUGCAUUUGAAACUGUUAUUCUAGAGUAUGGGAGAGGUAGGUGGAAUUCUUGGUGGAGGGGUAAAAUCCGUAGAGAUCAAGAGGAAUACUCAUUGCGAAGGCGACCUGCUAGAACAUAACUGACGCGGAUGCGCGAAAGCGUGGGGAGCAAACAGGAUUAGAUACCCUAGUAGUC